AGGCAACAGGGAGCUCUGUCUUACACAGUAUAAUGGUGGACCUUUCUGUCUCACAGCUUUAGCAGUCAACUAUAUCAGCUUGGAAAGUAUCUUACACAAGUCUAGACCAACCCGCAUACAUUAUUUUGUUUGAAUCCUGUGUCCAGUUCUGGGCACUACAAUUUAAGAAGGAUGUUGGCAAGCUGGAACAUGUGCAGAGAAGGGCAACCAGGAUGAUCAAGGGUCUGGAAACUGAGCCUUAUGAGGAGCGGUUGAAGGAGCUAGGUCUGUUUAGCCUGGAAAAGAGGCGACUGAGAGGAGAUAUGACAGCCAUUUUCAAAUAUCUGAAGGGCUGUCACAUGGAAGAGGGAACAAACCUGUUUUGUCCUGCUCCAGUGGCUAGGACCCAAACCAGUGUUUAAAUAUGAUAGCCAUAUUCAAAUAUCUCAGAAGUUGUCCUGGAGGGUAGGACUUGAACAAAUGGCUUUAAGUGUUUCCUGCUUGGCAGGGGGUUGGACUAGAUGGCCCUUGUGGUCUCUUCCAACUCUAUGAUUCUAAGUUACAAGAAAGUUUCCAGCUAAACAUCAAGAACUUUCUGACAGGUUUCAACAGGUUUACCACUCCUAUCAGCCCAUCACCCAUUCCCAUCACCACCACCCCCCACCCUCUGAAUAUACAUAAGGGUCUGGUGGCUUCUGUUUCAGUGUAUCUGAUGAAGUGUGCAUGCACACGAAAGCUUAUACCAAAAUAAAAACUUAGUUGGUCUUUAAGGUGCGACUGAAGGAAUUUUUUUAUUUUGUUUCGACUCAGACCAACAGACCUACCUGUAACUAGAACUUUCUGACAGUAUGACUUGUUUGACAGUGGAACAGUCUCCCUCGGGAGGUGGUAAACUCUCCUUCCUUGGAGGUUUUUAAGCAGAGGUUGGAUGGCCACCUGUCAUGGAUGCUUUAGGUGAGAUUCCUGCAUUGCACGGGGGUUGAGCUAGAUGACGCUUGGGGUCCCUUCCAAUUCUACAAUCUAUGACACACACAAGCUCUACAUUUGUUGUUGUUUUGUUAGGAUUCUGGUCUGGCUCAGCAUACUAUCUCUUUUUUUAAAAUCAAUUUUUAUUAGAGUUUCACUUACAAAUCAAUCAUAUCAAACCAAUUAUUCCUAAUUAUACAAAUAUAUAUCUAUUAAACCAAAUAUUAUGCCAAAUUAUAACAUUUUUACUUCCCCAUGCUUCAAAUUCUGAGGGUUCUGAUUAUCAAUAAUUGCUGCCAUUCUAAUCAAAGUUCCAAGUUCUUUCCAACCCUUUUAAUCCAACAUAGUACAGAUCUUUUCUAACAGCCUCUGAAAUGUUUUCAGGCGAGAUUUACCACAAAGCCUAUGUUUCUGUGAGGAUUUUUCUGUCCAGCUUCCCCAUAAAUCAUUGCAUUCUUUUUCCAGACUGGGAUAUUUUCCAAGCUCCACCCAGUUUAUCACGGAUAGACACCACCUUAAAGAUCCAAUAAGUCAUGUCCAGGCUUCUGCUCAUUAAUUCCUCUGGUUGUGGAUUCGCAGUCUUUCCAGGCAGGGUCAGCCAAAUCCAGAUACUAACACACAUCUUAUGGCAAGCCCAUGGCUCCCCCCGCCCUUUGACUGCUUUCCACUCCCCGGCCUCCAUUUUUAGCGAGCUCAAUUAAAAGUGCGUCACAAGUUGUAAAUCUUCUUAAAACCGUCCACAAAGAAUUUUAACAAGCUCCAGCUGUUGAUAUAACCACCUUAGGGAAGCUUUCAUCUUACAGGCUUAUCUAAACAAAUUCAAAUAAAUCCUCUAUUGCAGGGGUCCCCAGACUUACCGGGCUUUGGGCCGGAGAGCAGGGGAGUGCGCGCGCAGCGGGCCGGAGGGCGGGGGAGUGCGCGCCCGUGCGCAUGCGCACACGCACACGGUCGGAAAAAAUCACCGAAAAUCGCUUGUGCGCAUGCGUAUGGGCCUCCCCCGACCCGGAAGUGCAUCGGAAAUGACCUCUUCUGGGUCGGGAGAGGCCCAUACGCAUGCGCACAAAGCAUUUUCGGCGAUUUUUUGCCGAUUUUGAAGAUCGCCGCCGCGCAGCGCGCCGUAAGCGGCCGGCGGCAGCGGGUGGCGGGGGUUGUCGCGGGCCGGAUUGGGAGGCUAAUUGGGCCGCAUCCGGCCCGGGGGCCGUAGUCUGGGGACCCCUGCUCUAUUGUAUAUAUUUCAAUAUCCACACAAUUUAUAUUUUUAUAACUUCUCGCUUGUUCUAGGUACUUUAGACAGUCCAUCCAGGGAAGGUGUUAAGUGUAAUCUUGAAACAUAAAAAUAAAAGAGUUCAUUUCCCUUUCUGUUCGGUCCAACGUGGUAUUUUCUUUCUUUAAUACAAUAUUUCCUUGACUCUUUUAUCACUCAAAGGCUGAAUUUUCUGGCAGUGUCCUCCUCCUCUUCAUUUGAAGCAUGUCCAUGAAUUUAAAUCCAAUUAUUCCUCUUAAAUCUUGGACUCGUGCACAAACAGGGUGGCCUCCAGGAGUUCCGGCCCCCACGGGUGCUCGGCCCAGGCCCCCCCUGAAGGGUCGGAGUGGGUUAAGGGGCAUUCGCGGGCCAGCGGCCCCUCCCGUCAUCCCGGGAGGGUAGGGAGACUGUCUGCUCCCCAAGCAGCCGCCAAAUUUCCCUGUGGGAGUCAGGAGAGAUGUUGCGGGUCAGCCAUUUCUCCCGACGAGCACGAGCGGAACCCUGGCUCAGCACACUAUCAAAGUAAGGCUCAGGGGGGGAAAUAAAGGUUAGGUUUGAUAAGGUUUUUUUGUGUGUGGUGGCAGCAUCAGGUUGUGUUUUAACACCUCAUAUCAGUUGCUUACGCUGUUCCUUUGUGGGAUGAAGAUAACACUAUGCAUAAGGUUCAUCUUCAAACAGACUCCUAGUCUCUGUGAUUAUCCAGGGGUGAUUUUGAACCAGCCACAGAUUGCUAUAUAGAACGCAAGUCAACCUAUCCUUGCUCAGAGGUCAACCGUUCCAAAACAAGGCAGGUAGAGGACGUUUCUGCUGUCUGAUAAAUGAGUAGGAAGGGUAGGAGGGAGAGACUUUAACAAUUAAAACUGGAAUAGGUGAGGCUUGUAAUUUUUAUGCGAAAGCCUUUUAAGAAAAAGUGAAUUUGGGGCAUUGAUUCAGAGGCAAGAGGGAUAUGUAUAUAAUGUAUAUAUAAUAAUCUUUGAAAAUUUCUGGAGAACAGGCAAAGUCCCAGCAGACUGGAGGAGGGCAAAUGUUGUCCCUAUUAUCAAAAAGGGGGAAAGAGAGGACCCAAACAAUUACCGUCCAGCCAGCCUGACAUCAAUACCAGGAAAGAUUCUAGAGCAGAUCAUUAAGCAAACGGUCUAUGAGCACCUAGAAAGGAACGCUGUGAUCACUAAAAGUCAGCAUGGGUUUCUGAAAAAUAAGUCAUGUCAGACUAAUCUGAUCUCAUUUUUUGACAGAAUUACAAGCCUAGUAGAUGAAGGGAACGCUGUGGAUAUAGCCUAUCUUGAUUUCAGCAAGGCCUUUGACAAGGUGCCCCAUGAUAUUCUUGUAAAGAAGCUGGUAAAAUGCGGGCUAGACAAUGCUACCAUUCAGUGGAUUUGUAACUGGCUGACUGACCGAACCCAAAGGGUGCUCAUCAAUGGCUCCUCCUCAUCCUGGAGAGUAGUGACUAGUGGGGUGCCACAGGGUUCUGUCUUGGGCCCAGUCUUAUUCAACAUCUUUCUCAAUGACUUGGAUGAUGGGCUUGAGGGCAUCCUGAGCAAGUUUGCAGAUGACACCAAAUUGGGAGGGGUGGCUAAUACCCCAGAGGACAGGAUCACACUUCAAAAAGACCUUAACAGAUUAGACAACUGGGCCAAAGCAAACAAGAUGAAUUUUAACAGGGAGAAAUGUAAAGUACUA